CAGCAGCCACGGGAAUACGGAGGGUGCAAGCGUUAAUCGGAAUUACUGGGCGUAAAGCGCACGCAGGCGGUCUGACAAGUCAGAUGUGAAAUCCCCGGGCUUAACCUGGGAACUGCAUUUGAAACUGUCAGGCUGGAGUCUUGUAGAGGGGGGUGGAAUUCCAGGUGUAGCGGUGAAAUGCGUAGAGAUCUGGAGGAAUACCGGUGGCAAAGGCGGCCCCCUGGACAAAGACUGACGCUCAGGUGCGAAAGCGUGGGGAGCAAACAGGAUUAGAUACCCCGGUAGUCCCUGUCUCUUAUAC
rnacentral:rRNA from 1 species